UACGUAUGGUGCAAGCGUUAUCCGGAUUUACUGGGUGUAAAGGGAGCGUAGACGGAGAAGCAAGUCUGGAGUGAAAGCCCGGGGCUCAACCCCGGGACUGCUUUGGAAACUGUUACUCUUGAGUGCCGGAGAGGUAAGCGGAAUUCCUAGUGUAGCGGUGAAAUGCGUAGAUAUUAGGAGGAACACCAGUGGCGAAGGCGGCUUACUGGACGGUAACUGACGUUGAGGCUCGAAAGCGUGGGGAGCAAACAGG
rnacentral:rRNA from 1 species